CUACAGUUGCAGCAGUGCAAGAGAAGUACAUGAAGGAUGAUGAAAAUAUUGAUGAUAAUGAAUAAUGGGUAAAAGGUAAAUAAUUGAAAGAGAAUGACACCUUGAUAUUGCACAGGUCAUUUAUUGUGAGAGUUUGGAUUUUCGUCCUUAUAGUAGUGAAGAUCAUGAAAACAUAAUUGAAGCAGGGGAUCUACUAGUUAGUUUCAUGAUAUUAGCUAAUUCAGGCUUCUCCAACAGCCAAAAAGUCAAUUUCCAGUUUUGGGCUGACUUUGUACUAUAUUAUAAUUACAAUCCUACAUCUUGGAGUUCCGAAUGAGAUCUUUGUUUGUUCGUUGAAGUUGAUUCAUGUUAAGUUAAGCAUCAAGCGGAGAUGUUUUCGCUUUGAUAGAGAGUUGUGUUUGGGAACCAAGUAAUAUCUAUUUAUUCGAUUAAAGUGAAUGGCAUUUUGUAAAGU